rnacentral:rRNA from 1 species
UACGUAGGGGGCAAGCGUUGUCCGGAAUUAUUGGGCGUAAAGAGCGUGUAGGCGGCCAGAUAAGUCCGCUGUGAAAUCUCGAGGCUCAACUUCGAGCUGUCGGUGGAAACUAUCUGGCUAGAGUCCGGAAGAGGAGAAUGGAAUUCCUGGUGUAGCGGUGAAAUGCGCAGAUAUCAGGAGGAACACCGGUGGCGAAGGCGGAUCUCUGGGCCUUACCUGACGCUCAGGUGCGAAAGCUAGGGGAGCGAACAGG